rnacentral:lncRNA from 1 species
UGAUUGCGUUGCUCGGUACCUUCCCUGGUUACUGGUUCACAGUAUUCUUCAUUGAGAAAAUCGGCAGGUUUAAGAUACAAUUGAUGGGGUUCUUUAUGAUGUCAAUUUUCAUGGCAAUCAUUGGGAUCAAAUAUGAUUACCUAAAGACUAAAGAUCCAUGAUGUCAGUUUUCAUGGCAAUCAUUGGGAUCAAAUAUGAUUACCUAAAGACUAAAGAUCACAAAUGGACAUUCGCAGCUCUUUAUGGCUUAACUUUCUUCUUUGCCAACUUUGGACCCAAUUCGACAACUUUUGUGCUCCCCG